UUUUGCCCCAGAUAGUAGUGGAAAGCUUCGAGAUUUAGAAAGCUAUUUUUUCUUGAGCUGGCAGAGCGACCAAAGGAAGCUCCUGCUGGCUCGUAGAAAAAAAGCUUUCUAAACGAGAACUUGCAACGAAUAGCUGGAUUAGGC
rnacentral:sRNA from 2 species